rnacentral:rRNA from 1 species
GAUCCUGGCUCAGAUUGAACGCUGGCGGCAGGCUUAACACAUGCAAGUCGAGCGGGGAAGAGUAGCUUGCUACUUAACCUAGCGGCGGACGGGUGAGUAAUGGCUUAGGAAUCUGCCGUAAUUAGUGGGGGACAACAUCGUCGAAAAGGGAUGCUAAUACCGCAUACGUCCUACGGGAGAAAGCAGGGGACCUUCGGGGCCUUGCGCUAUAGAUGAGCCUAAGUCGGAUUAGCUAGUUGGUGGGGUAAAGGCCG